rnacentral:tRNA from 1 species
GCUGAUGUAGCUCAGUUGGUAGAGCACAUCCUUGGUAAGGAUGAGGUCACCAGUUCGACUCUGGUCAUCAGCUCCA